GCCAAAACUCCCUCGUUCUUCUAAUUCCCACUUUCGACAAAAUUCUAACGAAAAAGGGUUCUCUCCAUAGCAGAAAACCAGUUGCAGUGGUGAAAGUAAGAUCUCUCUCUCUCUCUCACACACACACACUCACUCACUCUCAUUCUCUCUCUCUCUCAAAAUAUCAUCACUGCCUUCAUCGUCAACGAUUCUUAAGAGCAAGCACAAGAGGAUAUGAAAUUUGUUUAGCAGGGUUUCUUGGAUACAAUUAUUGACUUCUUUGGAGUAGCUUUUGGGAGUGUGGGGGUGUUGGUGGUGGUGGGAUCUUCAUUCCCAUGUUUACCCUUGUGAAAUCAUCAACAAAAAUAUUAAGAUGGCUUUGAUUGUUGUUCUUCGGAGGCUUUUGAUGAUGACACAUUAACACCCUUGUUUUGUUUUGUCGCCCAAGCAACCUCUUCAAGCUGCUGAAUGCUCUAUAAAAUGAUUUAAGAUUUUGAUUUUCGCCUCCUGGGCGGCCGAAGAAUGCCUCGAAAUGGCCAGGAGUAUGCAUGGUUAGAAGAAGCUUUGUGAUAAAGAGCUCCUCAAGGUAUAGUCGUUCUUGAUAAAGUAGACUGAAGUCCCUACCGGAAUCUGUUUUAGAUCUCCUCUUGAAGGACUCCCUCUGUUGUCAUGCCAUGCCGCAGGUCCAGAAGGGUCAUGACACCUUGUCCACAGGUAACGUAGAAGACAGCAUCAGCGCCCUCAUGGAAAUAUGUUAGGAAGGUGUGUUGGGGUUAGCCUUGAAAGAGUCUUAAAGCUCUGUUUGUCAACUAAGGGUAUAUUAAACUUUUUUAGUUCGUCCAUUUUGAAAUGUGAAAAGAAAGAAGAGGUUUCAGUACUUAAGAGA